GGCCUCUCCAUGGGCUGCGAGCGGGAGGAGGGGGCGGCGGCGAGCGCUACCCGCCGGGCCGCGGCCGCUCCGAGGUGAACGGCGGCGGCGCGGAGGGAGGAGAGCGGCUCGCGAGCGGCGCGGGGAGGCCGGGCGCGCCGCCGCCGCCGCCGCGAUGAAUUCCGCCGAGCAGACCGUUACGUGGCUCAUCACCUUGGGGGUGCUCGAGUCGCCCAAGAAAACCAUCUCGGACCCGGAGGGCUUCCUGCAGGCGUCCCUGAAGGAUGGCGUGGUCCUCUGCAGGCUGCUGGAGCGCCUGCUGCCCGGGACCAUCGAGAAAGUCUACCCGGAUCCGCGCAGCGAGAGCGAGUGUCUGAGCAACAUCCGCGAGUUUCUGCGAGGCUGCGGGGCCUCCCUGCGCCUGGAGACGUUUGAUGCAAAUGAUUUGUACCAGGGGCAGAAUUUUAACAAGGUCCUCAGUUCCUUAGUGACUUUAAAUAAAGUAACAGCAGACAUUGGACUGGGAAGUGACUCUGUGUGUGCCCGGCCCUCAUCUCAUCGGAUAAAGUCUUUUGACUCCCUGGGAUCCCAGCCUUCCCACAGUCGGACUUCAAAAUUAUUCCAGGGCCAGUAUCGAAGCUUGGACAUGACCGAUAAUAGCAACAAUCAACUGAUAGUAAGAGCAAAGUUUAACUUCCAACAGACAAAUGAAGAUGAGCUUUCCUUUACGAAAGGAGAUGUCAUCCAUGUCACUCGAGUGGAGGAAGGGGGCUGGUGGGAGGGCACACACAACGGUAGGACUGGCUGGUUCCCCAGCAACUACGUCCGAGAGAUCAAGCCCAGUGAAAAGCCUGUGUCUCCCAAAUCUGGAACAUUGAAGAGUCCUCCAAAAGGAUUUGAUACUACUGCCAUUAACAAAAGCUAUUAUAAUGUGGUGCUACAGAACAUUUUGGAAACAGAAAAUGAAUACUCUAAAGAACUUCAGACUGUGCUUUCAACCUAUCUACGGCCGUUGCAGACCAGUGAGAAGUUAAGUUCAGCAAACACUUCAUAUUUAAUGGGAAAUUUAGAAGAAAUAUGUUCUUUCCAGCAAAUGCUUGUACAGUCUUUAGAAGAAUGCACCAAGUUGCCUGAAGCUCAGCAGAGAGUUGGAGGCUGCUUUUUAAAUCUGAUGCCACAAAUGAAAACCUUGUACCUUUCAUAUUGUGCCAAUCACCCAUCUGCAGUGAAUGUUCUCACGGAGCACAGUGAGGAGUUGGGAGAGUUCAUGGAGAUGAAAGGUGCCAACAGUCCGGGGAUUCUCGUGUUGACCACUGGCCUCAGCAAACCAUUCAUGCGCCUGGAUAAGUACCCCACUCUGCUCAAGGAGCUCGAGAGACACAUGGAGGAUUAUCAUCCGGAUAGACAAGAUAUUCAAAAAUCUAUGACUGCCUUCAAAAACCUUUCAGCCCAGUGUCAAGAUGUACGGAAAAGGAAAGAGCUGGAGUUGCAGAUCCUGAACGAAGCCAUCCGGAGCUGGGAGGGAGAUGACAUUAAGACCCUGGGCAAUGUCAUUUACAUGUCCCAGGUCAUGAUUCAGUGUGCCGGAAGUGAGGAAAAGAAUGAAAGAUAUCUUCUACUCUUCCCAAAUAUUUUGCUAAUGUUGUCUGCCAGUCCCAGGAUGAGUGGUUUUAUCUAUCAGGGAAAGCUACCAACGACAGGAAUGACAAUCACAAAGAUUGAGGACAGUGAAAAUCAUAGAAAUGCAUUUGAAAUAUCAGGGAGCAUGAUUGAGCGGAUAUUAGUGUCAUGCAACAACCAGCAGGAUCUCCAUGAAUGGGUGGACCAUCUACAGAAGCAAACGAAAGUCACAUCUGUCAGCAAUCCCCCCAUUAAGCCUCAUUCUGUGCCGUCUCAUACUCUCCCCACCCAUUCAAUCACCCCAUCCAGCAAGCAUGCAGACAGCAAGUCGGUGCCACUGACGCCUGCCUACCAUACACUGCCCCACCCCUCCCACCAUGGCACCCCACACACGACCAUCAACUGGGGGCCCCUGGAGCCUCCGAAGACCUCGAAGCCAUGGAGUCUGAGCUGUCUGCGACCUGCACCUCCCCUCCGGCCCUCAGCUGCUCUCUGCUACAAGGAGGAUCUUAGUAAGAGUCCUAAGACCAUGAAAAAGUUGCUACCUAAGCGUAAACCAGAGCGGAAGCCUUCGGACGAAGAGUUUGCGCUGAGGAAAAGCACAGCUGCUUUGGAAGAAGACGCACAGAUUCUGAAAGUCAUUGAAGCUUACUGCACAAGCGCCAAAACACGGCAAACACUUAACUCAACAUGGCAAGGCACUGACCUGAUGCAUAAUCACGUCUUGGCUGAUGAUGACCAAUCAAGUCUAGACUCCUUGGGUCGUCGCAGUAGCCUUUCUCGUUUGGAGCCUUCAGACCUCUCGGAAGACUCUGACUAUGACAGUAUAUGGACAGCCCAUAGUUACAGAAUGGGUUCUACAUCUCGGUGGCUGUAAUUCCAGGUGGCUGUGAAUUCUCUCUUCCCUCACCAUACUUCCUUCGCCAAACCCAUGUUAUUCAGUGUUCUGAUCUCGUUUGCACAGAGACAACUCUGAUACACUAUAUCAUUGUUUCCUGGGAGCUGGGUCCUGUUGCUCACAAGCCCAGAGGUGCUAGUGAACUCCCGGCAGUAGCUUAUUGCUUAGAAAACCAGACAGCUUCAGCACUGCAUGCAAUGGGGUCAUUGGGAAAACCAAUAAUUCUAAGCAUCUGUCUGUUUUCAAGCUUAUGACAUCUGGAGAUUUCAUAUUUUUAUAUCAACUAAUAUAAAUAAAGUUGAGGAGCAAUAGUUUAAAAAAUUAGAGCUCAAUAUUAACCCAUAGUAGAGAUGGAGUUUAAUAUUUAGUCAGCCAAAUAGCAAAUGGAAUUUUUGGAAAGCUAUAACUUACACAGUUCAUAUGCUUACUCAGUAUCAUGCAAGAAAUUUAGAAGCAAUUUUGUUUUAUAUUACGUAGAGUACUCACCUUUUCUGAUACGAAUAGAACAUCUUUUUGUUUGCUUUGAGACUAAUUGGUGCAUUGGCCUCGAUGCCUUUGCCAUGCCUUAGUAAACUUGGGUUGCCUGGGUCAUAUGCUGUAUAUACCACAACAAUUGAAGUACAGUUGCUGCACUUAGAUUUUUCUGUAACACCAAGUAUCGUUUGGGUUGUCUAAAUGAGUUUCAUUUUCUUUACACCAAAGUUUUGACAUGUUCCCAUUCUUGUUUGUACCAGGUAAAACCAUUUUGACGACGAUUUUUUGUUGAUGCUAAGAUCACUGCACGAUAACAACUUGGCUUUUUGUUUGUUUGGAUUUGUUUUGAAUGUCUGGCACCAUUAGCUCUUGUGACCCGUUUGGAAGUAGUAGUGCCACAGGCCUGAACACAGUUCUUGUGUGGCAGUGGUGAGAGGCGUCCAAAGGGCCACAUUUCUACUUCAGUGGACCUUCAGUCAUGCUGAAACAGUAUUAUAUGCUUACACAGUUCUGUGAUAUCUAUGUGUACAGUUAGUGUUAUAAUGGAAGAGUGAAGAAUCUGGACCAGAAAGUAGGGUUAAGCCAUUACCAGGCCCUUUUGCAAAUGGCCUAAAUGGUGUUCCCAUUGAAUUAACACUUGCCACAAGUACAUAACUUAUAUUAAUUGUGUUUUGCAUAAAAUUGCCAAACACAGUAAUGUGUAUAUAGUGGUAUAAGACCUGGAAAAAAUUUAUAUAUUGUGCUUUUUAUCUGUGAAUGGGAAAGCCAUUUUUAGUGGGUGACUGCCCUUUAAAGACUCAGUUGGAUGUAUACCUGAAUGUUGCAUUGUAUUGUACAGUAUCAUGUUAUUGUUUGUGGUUGCAUAUGGCAAUGAAGUGUUUGUUUUAUAAAAAAAAAAAAAAGACAUCUGUUAUGUACAGUUGAAAUAAAUUUUGCAUUUGCUAGCCUGUGGCUUUUAAUAUUUGUUACAUGGGGGAGGGGGUGUAGCAUAGUUUUCAGUCUAAUAUGAUUUGGCUGUCCUCAUGAACGUUGUCUUCUAAAGAAAGGCUAGGCAAUAGAACACUUUCUUUCUGCCUUAAUGGAGAUGCUUUCUUAGGUUAAAUAUGUUCUAAACAAUACAGGAGUACCCUUGUACAUUUUUAUUUCAUCUAUUUUUCUUUAAUUUUUAAAUCUCAGAGGUUUGUCUUCAGAACUGAGCAUCUCAUUUUUGUGUUUUUUUUUGGGGGGGGGAGGGAUAAGGGUGUGUGUGUGUGUGUGUGUGUACAUAAAUAGAAAAAAAAAGCGCAACUGUAAUGCUUUUUUAUUUACACUAAAGUCAGUUUUUAUUUUUUAAAGUACAUGCCCAGUUUACUAGGAAAAGCAAAAUGAAAGGAAAACUAGUCCCUAUGCCAGUGUGGGGCUAAGCCAAGGGGCAAACAAUGAAUAAAUGCAAAUAAUUCUUUAAAGAGAACCCUUACAUUUCUUUUCCUAAGAAAAAUAAAUUAAGAGUCUUAUAGCCAUAAAUAACAAAGUGGCAUUGGGAGAAAUUUUAUUAAGUAGAUUUUUUUAAAUGUAAUUUUUAAAAAUAUCGUUUUAUUGAUUUUAGAGAGGAAGGGGGAGAGGUAGAAACAUAAAUGAUGAGAAUUAUUGAUUGGUGCCUCCUGAACACCCCCUACUCGGGAUGGAACUCACGGCCCAGGUAUAUGCCCCGACCUGGAAUCAAAGGUGACCUGGUUCAUAGGUUGAUGCUCAACCACUGUGCCGAACUUCCCGGGCUAAAGUGUAAUAUUUGCUUCAUUCUGGAAAUUAUUUCACUUUUGAUUAUAAGUAAAUGCAGAUAUUAGAAAUAAGAAUUUAAGAAGUGAGUUUUGCUACAAACAUACUAAGACCGCUAGCUAGCUAGGCAGAUUUUUUUUUUUUAAUUGUUUCUUGGCUUUUGUUGGAAGCCGACUCCCUUAUGUGUACACACACACAUACCAUGCUCAUGCCCUAGAUUUGUGUUGUCAGAUGAGGCACUGAAAUGGUGUACUAACAAGUCAGAUCAGGCACCAAAAUAGUGGUCUAACAACCAAGAUGAUUCCGCCCUGGGGCUUGAGUCUUAAUCUUGCUGCCUGGGCAAAUCAUCUGUUUAUAAAAUGGAAUUGUUCGCUCAAUCGGUGUUUCUCAAAUGAAGGCCCAUUUGGGGUUCUCUGAAUGUUUUUGGAAGCAGUGUUCUAAGUGUGUCUUCAGCUUCUGGAUCACACCUCUGAGUUGCCCCCAGGGGCUCCAGUGUCUGCUGUCUCUCCAGCUUUGGUGGUGCAGAGUGACCCCUGCUGGUGGCUGUGUGGAACUGUCAUUGCCUGUUUGCCGCCAUUGGCGGCUGGAUCCCAAGCAUGUGCAGAACUGUUUGGAGUCCUCAAAUUUGGUUCACGUAAAGAAUCUGCUCCACAAGUUUUGCUUCCAGAAGAAGAAAAAAUUAUAGUUGAAGAAAC